GCUAUUUCCUUUUAAAACACAUUCAUAAAAAAUACAGAGAAGAUUAGCAUCCUGGGCAAGGAUGACAUGGAAAUUGAUGAAGUGUACAUUUUU
ensembl:snRNA U6 U6 spliceosomal RNA